GCCGGGGUAGCCAAGGUGGUCACGGCGGUGGUCUGAAAAACCAUAGAUUGCAGUUCGACUCUGCACCCCGGCA
rnacentral:tRNA from 1 species